rnacentral:tRNA from 1 species
GAGAUCCUAGCUUAAUUAAAGCACCUGGGUUGCAUCCAGGGGAUGUAGGGUAGUAUCCUGCGGAUUUUA